rnacentral:rRNA from 1 species
AACCAAUUCUAGCUCAACAUCCUACAAAAUUUAACUACAAACAAUCCAUUAAACAAAACAUUUACCUCUGAAAAAGUAUAGGAGAUAGAAAUUCAAAACAUGAAGCUAUAGAGAUAGUACCGUAAGGGAAAGAUGAAAGAAAAAAAAUAUAGUGAAACAAAGCAAAGACUAAAACUUUUACCUUUUGCAUAAUGAUUUAACUAGAAUACUUUUGACAAAAAGAAUUUAAGCCAAAAACCCCGAAACCAGACGAGCUACUUACUAGCAGCCAAUUUAGGGCCAAUCCGUCUAUGUAGCAAAAUAGUGGAAAGACUAAUAAGUAGAGGUGAAAAGCCUAUCGAGCCUGGUGAUAGCUGGUUGUCCAGACUAGAAUAUUAGUUCAACCUUAAAUUUAUCUAAAGCAAUAUCCCAAAAGCCAAAUAUAAAUUUUAAGCGCUAUUCUAAAGAGGGACAGCUCUUUAGAACAAGGAAAAAACCUUAAUUAGAGAGUAAAUAUUUAUAUUUAUCAUAGUUGGCCUAAAAGCAGCCAUCAAUUAAAAAAGCGUUAAAGCUUAACCAAUAUACCAAAACUAAAUAUCUUUAUUUACCUUGACCUCCUAAUUUAUAAACUGGACUAAUCUAUUAAUCAAUAGAAGAAAUAAUGUUAAAAUAAGUAACAAGAAAAUAUUUCUCCCUGCAUAAGCUUAUAUCAGAUCAAAUAAUUUACUGAUAGUUAACAGCCCAAUAAAAACAAACAUACUAUUAAAGCAUUAUUAAACACACUGUUAACCCAACCCUGGCAUGCACCUAUAAUAAACCUUAAGGGAAAGAUUAAAAAGAGUAAAAGGAACUCGGCAAACAAUAACCCCGCCUGUUUACCAAAAACAUCACCUCUAGCAUAAAAAGUAUUAGAGGCACUGCCUGCCCAGUGACAUAAGUUAAACGGCCGCGGUAUCCUGACCGUGCAAAGGUAGCAUAAUCACUUGUUCCUUAAAUAGGGACUUGUAUGAAUGGCUUGACGAGGGUUUAACUGUCUCUUACUCCCAAUCAGUGAAAUUGACCUUCCCGUGAAGAGGCGGGAAUAUAAUAAUAAGACGAGAAGACCCUAUGGAGCUUAAAUAUUCUAGUCUAACAUUCACUCCAUUUACACCCACGGGCAAUAAAACCUAUGUAAACAGACUACAAAUUUUGGUUGGGGUGACCUCGGAGUACAAAUUAACCUCCGAAUGAUAUUAAUCUAGACUACGACCCGUCUAAAUUUUUAUUCAUAAAUUGACCCAAAAAUAUUUGAUCAACGGAACAAGUUACCCUAGGGAUAACAGCGCAAUCCUACUCAAGAGUUCAUAUCGACAGUUAGGGUUUACGACCUCGAUGUUGGAUCAGGACAUCCAAAUGGUGUAACCGCUAUUAAUGGUUCGUUUGUUCAACGAUUAAAGUCCUACGUGAUCUGAGUUCAGACCGGAGAAAUCCAGGUCGGUUUCUAUCUAUUAAUAAAUUUCUCCCAGUACGAAAGGACAAGAGAAAUAAGGCCAAUUUUUCAUUAUAUGCCUUAGACAAAUAGAUGAUAUCAUCUAAAUCUAGUAAACCAUUAUUAACCCUGCCCUAGAACAGGGUUU